UACAGUCUUUUUAAUCUCCUACCUAGCUUUUUUUUAAGUAACAAUGCACAGUAGUAAUAAAUACAAUGACAUGGAGGACACAUGCUGUUUGCCUUAUCUUAUGAAUAUUUUCCACGCGACUUUUAGUCAGAAUGAUCGUGUAAUACCGAAUUAAAACUAUGAGAUGAAGUAGGCCUCGAGAUUCUACAUUCUCAGCAAGCUGGAAUCAACGAUGUCAGUUUUGUAUCCCAUAGUAAACGUACGCCCUGCACCAGUCCUCGGUUUUGUCGGUAUUACUGCAGCACAUCGGAUACACAAUGCCGGACUUGGCCACCUUCGAACAGCGCUGACACAACUCGUUUAGAUCUUCCUGCGAGGGGAAGUGGAGGAAAGUAUUUUCAAAUUAAUAAUUUUGAACAUUUGCUUUUUUAAUUCUAUGGUUUUUUCGGCAAUUGGAACUUACAUCCGCGUGACAGCGCUUGACGUUUGUGUAGUCCUCGUCGUAGUACUCUUCAUCUUCUUGCUUGGCUGCGACCAGGGCGGCACGCUUCUGCGGCUGGUGAUGUUGGACAGAGCCAUCUACUUCGAGACCGUCGCCAACCGGAUGACUAAUCCGGGCGUCUGAAGGUCUAGCGAUGACGGGACUGGCCACCAGGAUGAGAAGCAAACAGACCACCGACAGUAUCGCGAAAGUCCGGCAUCGGCGUUGGUGUGCUGAUGAUAAGUAGUGUCGGCUGGACGGUGCCGCGGCGGCCUGAUGCCGACGACCAUGGGCGCUUAUCAUCUUCUGCGAAUGGUAAACCAAAAACGAGAGAGAUGAGCAUGCGGUAUUGUGUGGGUGUGAAAAUAACGGAUUUGAUCGGGACUUUUGGCCUUAGGAACGGAUGUUCCGGUUGGUUGGAUCAUUGCGUCACGGUCAUGCGCUCGGGCAAAGUUCUAGUACUAUCAGAUUUUUAGCCAUAAACGCUUUCAGGUGUCUAUGACUAAACUAAACAGGUGGAAUGACUAAACAGUGAGGUUUUCAAACGGAAACAAAGGCGAAUAUCAGUUAUCUUCAGUAAUUGGCCAUUUGACACCAAAGGAAAAAAAAACGUCCCAGAUGAUGUGUUGAUGGCUGUCAUAAAAAUCAAUCUUGAAAAUGAUAACCGCCCGUUUUCGGUCUUUACUGCUCCGAUGAUUUAUUCGAAAUCACAUGACUGGCCCAAGUGAGUUUGAACCGGUAAAAGGCAAAUUUUUCACGACCCCAAAGCGUGCCACUGGCAAAUUGAGAUCACUUUCGAGAGACCAUUACGCUCAGAGAUUUUGCAUUCAAAUAGAGAAUUAUCUUCAUAUCUGAUGGAAAAAACGAGGUCUGCGGAAAGAGUUCAUUAGUACAAAACUAUGGUGACAAUUAGUGCUCGCUGUUCACGCUAAGCGAUCAUGACCUAGCGCCACGUUGUAACCAAUUUAUUGUCGGAAUAACCGUUUAUUCUACAAGAUAAGCGGAAAAAACUGAAUCCAUCUGCUUACGCAUGAAGUUAAACUCUCUGGAAUAAGAAAUCAGCUGUUGCCUACCGACCGAUCGGCAGGGGGCGAGGUUACUCGAUCAUUCAAUUACAUUUUCUUUAUUGCAUCACUGAUUCUUACUCUGACAUCAGCGGUGCCCGGCAAUCCCGGAACGAUUUGGGAUGCUCUGAAUGGAAACUUCCACCAAGUUCCAUCGACGACCGGCUGAUGUGUUGCCAUCCUCAUCCCAUCUGACACAGUAACUUUUCAAGGCUGAAGAAUUAAGUGAACGAUCGUAAAACAGCGAUCGUUUAACGACACCCCUUUUGAGCUGACAACAUUAGAGGGAACCGAUGCCAAUGACCCGGGUCCAUGUGUAGUAAAUCUUCUGAUUUGGAUUCGCCCUUAUCAGCGAACGAUGAUCGCCUGCCUGACGCAAUUUAGAGCGGAAGUGGAGCGAAUGCAUUUUCCCGUCACGUCUAAGCGCCGGCCGCCGUGACCUGGAAUGUUCGCCUCCUAGGUCACGUGACCACGGUCUGAUUAUGGGCCAUUUAAAGAAGAUAGACAAACUGCAACUCACCACCGAUCUUGCUCGCUGAUAAAAAAUCACGGGAAUCACAACGUCUGCGCUUCAACGUCACAGUUUAUUUUGGAUUUCGGUGUGGCGCUUAUCAGCAAUUGCGUGCCUCUUUUGGUGGAACUUUUGGAAGGCUGGUGAUGACAGAAUAAUCGAACGCAUGGCUUGUCACCGAUUAUCUUAAGUGUCCUAUCAUUCAUCCAACAACUUGACCCCGGUUCGGUUCCACACCAGAUCAGUCGCGUUGGACCAAAAUUCGCCGAAAUUCCUUGCGUCUACGUCAUGAAGCCCGAAUGCACAUAAUGUGUAUGUAUAGAAUGUAGGUAGGUAGGUAGGUAAAUAAGUGCCGACCGCCUUGCUCAAAGUCUGUUUCAGCAUGAUCGUUCACGUUGGUUCAGAUUGUGAAAUUGGCGCCCCCAAAAAAAGUUCGGUCUGGAAGCACGUGCUUUUUCGUAUCAUGCGAAUGCGGUCCCCCCAUUUGAUGUAGUAUGGUAUGAUGCCAUAGAUGGAAGUAAAAUUCUCUUCAUCGAAGACUGACGAUAAGAUUGAAAAAGUCGUAUCUGCAACUGGGUGUAGAUAAGCUAAUUUAGAUGAAGCAGUUGCUAUGUUGGCCUGAAAUCAUGGCUGAAGGUUAUGAUAAGCGUUUUAGGUGAUGUUAGUUCCUUCUGAAUUCGAAUGCUAGAAUGGAAAAUUCACGAAAAAAAAAAUCGCCAAACAUUCAUUAACUUAUGCUUUUUGGACUCUGUCCGAUCACGUUGUUGCCAGGUGAUGGAUGCGAGCGAGCUGAGAAAUUCAUGACGCAAGAGAACGCCGGCAGUGAAUCAUAUUCUCAAAAAAAUUGCUUUCUGCUUCUGCUCGAAAAACCGCACAUGGUUCCAGGAUGCUCAAACACUUCGAAGGCACGCACUGGAAGAACUGUUGACUGUUUUGAAGAAUAACGACGCUGAUCACUUGUUCGCAUUCGAGUCUGAUAUGUGGAGUCCCCAUUUGUUUUUGACUGUUCUGACUGAUUAGAACAGCUGAGAUAACAGUUACGAAACGUGACGGAGAUUAGAGGACACGACGCCGAUAUGAUAAUGAUGUCAUUUGAAUUGGGCAAGCAAAAGUGACUCGGACUUUCGAUGGCGCCGGCUCAAAACGUCAUUCGUUAUGCUAACUUCCGGUUAUCAAAUCGUAUCGAUGGUACUGCCCGCCGAGAGACUAGAAAUGAACAAUUGAUUCUUCUAAGAUAUUUUGUUUCACAACAUCGAAGAGUUCAUUGCAUGUAGGCUAUUUUUGAACAUGCUCAAAUCGUCCUUAUCGCCAAAUGUACAAAGAACAUGCGAGAAGUGCUUAGUGUGUUUGUUUGUGAAACACCUGAUGGUAGCAUGCAAAAAGGCAAACCAAUAGCAGCAAACAGAUCGAUGCAUGUUGCUAUCUGCCGAAGAUAGCAGCCGGUCAGCAAGCGUGGGUGACAAUGGGUGUUGUGGGAAAAAUAUUUUCAAAAUUUUCCGUUGAAUUCGACCAGAAAAAAAACUCUUUAUCUAUUGCCCGAUUUCUCAAUUGAUUUUAUCUACACGUAUGAGUGAUUAUUAAACUACCAAAUCGAAAGACUUCAACGAUUCCGUUAUAAAUCGCAGCUUAGAAUUUUUUUUUAUAUUCACAAAUCGAUUCCAACGGGCUACGUUGAUAAGUUUAAUCUGAAGAAUUAAUUGAUGGUCACCUAUUUAGACGCAAAUUUGACGGAAGGCAUCUUCGAUCAUUUGGGUAAUUUAUUGGUAAUCCUUGAAUUCAAUCAUAAUACGAGCUUUGAAAAAUCCGGUAUAGUUAGUUUUUUUCUU